rnacentral:rRNA from 1 species
UAGGAAUCUUCCACAAUGGACGCAAGUCUGAUGGAGCAACGCCGCGUGAGUGAAGAAGGUUUUCGGACCGUAAAGCUCUGUUGUUGGUGAAGAAGGAUAGAGGUAGUAACUGGCCUUUAUUUGACGGUAAUCAACCAGAAAGUCACGGCUAACUACGUGCCAGCAGCCGCGGUAAUACGUAGGUGGCAAGCGUUGUCCGGAUUUAUUGGGCGUAAAGCGAGCGCAGGCGGAAGAAUAAGUCUGAUGUGAAAGCCCUCGGCUUAACCGAGGAAUUGCAUCGGAAACUGUUUUCUUGAGUGCAGAAGAGGAGAGUAGAACUCCAUGUGUAGCGGUGGAAUGCGUAGAUAUAUGGAAGAAUACCAGUGGCGAAGGCGGCUCUCUGGUCUGCAACUGACGCUGAGGCUCGAAAGCAUGGGUAGCGAACAGGAUUAGAUACCCUGGUAGUCCAUGCCGUAAACGAUGAGUGCUAAGUGUUGGGAGGCUUCCGCCUCUCAGUGCUGCAGCUAACGCAUUAAGCACUCCGCCUGGG